CCUACGGGUGGCUGCAGUGGGGAAUAUUGGACAAUGGGCGAAAGCCUGAUCCAGCCAUGCCGCGUGUGUGAAGAAUGCCUUCGGGUUGUAAAGCACUUUCAGUGGGGAAGAAAGCCUUGGGGCUAAUACCCUCGAGGAAGGACAUCACCCACAGAAGAAGCACCGGCUAACUCCGUGCCAGCAGCCGCGGUAAUACGGAGGGUGCGAGCGUUAAUCGGAAUUACUGGGCGUAAAGCGCGCGUAGGCGGUCUGAUAAGCCGGUUGUGAAAGCCCCGGGCUCAACCUGGGAACGGCAUCCGGAACUGGCAGGCUAGAGUGCAGGAGAGGAAGGUAGAAUUCCCGGUGUAGCGGUGAAAUGCGUAGAGAUCGGGAGGAAUACCAGUGGCGAAGGCGGCCUUCUGGACUGACACUGACGCUGAGGUGCGAAAGCGUGGGUAGCAAACAGGAUUAGAUACCCUAGUAGUC
rnacentral:rRNA from 1 species